rnacentral:rRNA from 1 species
AUUGAACGCUGGCGGCAGGCCUAACACAUGCAAGUCGAACGAGUGGCGGACGGGUGAGUAAUGUCUGGGAAACUGCCGAUUGGGGGGGGUUACUUCCUGAAACCGUUAGUUAUUACCCCUUACAUUGGGUUGUCCCCAGAUGGGAUUAGCUGUUGGGUGGGGUAAGGGCUCACCUAGGCGACGAUCCCUAGCUGGUCUGAGAGGAUGACCAGCCACACUGGAACUGAGACACGGUCCAGACUCCUACGGGAGGCAGCAGUGGGGAAUAUUGCACAAUGGGCGCAAGCCUGAUGCAGCCAUGCCGCGUGUAUGAAGAAGGCCUUCGGGUUGUAAAGUACUUUCAGCGGGGAGGCGUUACCCGCAGAAGAAGCACCGGCUAACUCCGUGCCAGCAGCCGCGGUAAUUC